GGUACUCAUGGCUCAUUGGUAGACUCUGCUCUUGGAUUCCUCACUUGGGAGGACAAAGCAGAGACCUCCUCUCAAAAUUUCUGUUUAAAGAGGGAGAACAUCCAAUUAAGCCACCUCUCCAUCUGUCACCAGACUGUACUUGGGAUUUUUCAUCAUGCUCCCUUGCCAGUGCUGUGACCAUGACUUUUAUCAAACAAGCUACAUUCUAAUAAAUGCCCAGCUUGGAGACCUACAGCAUUUAAAUGGUGGAGUAAAAGGGCUCUAUCGGGGAUACAAGGUAUGCCUCCAAGUGACCAGGCUCAAUGUGUUAGAUGGAAACUAGAACAGCUUUGAAUUGGAGACCCAAGAAGCUCACAUGAGACCAGGAACACAGUAGUGAUUAGAUACAAAACAGACAGUUUAUCUGUGACUUAAAAGACAAUCACAAAGGUCUAAAGAUCCAGGAAAUAAAGAUAUCAGUGGAAUUUUCACCAUGACCUGUGUGCUCCAUACUAUUUU